CCUUAAGCAAGCCUAGGGUUUGUUUAAGCAAGCAGGAUCGGACGUAAACCUGGCCCUGGGACCUGAUCUCGAAUAUCUGACGGUCUUCUUCUAUCUCAUAGAUUCCUUUCUUUAAGAUCAAAAUAUAAAGGGACCUAAUGGAACCUGUAUCAACAUCAACCCAUUUAAUCGGUCUCUAUUCAGGUCUCACUUCAUCAGGUAUGAACAACUCACCCACAACUAUGAUCUUGCAAUUUGCUACAAGAAUUCAAUAUCAGAGACUGUGAACUGGUUAGGAUUGAUACCAGGCUUCAAUGUCGGACUUGAAUAGAAUAAAGGAAAAUUUUAGGUGGAUCCGAUCCACCGUAAAUUAAGAGACAUCGAAGUGUAUUCAUCUAUUUUUUUUAUGAAAAAACCACUAUCUGUGUGUUAAUCCGACUGGAUCCAUACAAAUAUUUUCCAACCAAAAGAGUCACUAAGUGAUGAAAAAGAAUAGAUUUGAUAUCACUGGAGUUAACUGUGUGAACCCGUGUUUGAUGCUUGACAAAGAGAGUACACCAACCGAUCAUCAUCUUUCAUGAUGCUUGACGAGCUUUUCUAAGAGAGUUAAUUUUGGUACACAUCUGAAUUGGAGUUGCUAACAAUGAAGUUUCACUUGAUGGGAGGCUCUAACUAAGAACUGAGAUGAGUUUGCAGACAUCGCCCGCCAAAUUGAACCGUUUUGGAAAGCCUCUAAUACGCACCGUUUCCAGACAGCUCGCUGUCGCGGCACCUGUAAGUUCAAAACGCCGCGUUUUUGGGUCAUCACACUGUUUCCGUCAGAACUAGUCGGCAGUGGUCGCUGUAUCUUGUGCAUCACCGUCAUUUUGAAGCUCGGGGAGAAAAACAUUUUCGCGGGAAUAAAUCAGAAGCCUGGAAAUGUCUAGUCAUUCGAAAUUCUCUAGUCUAUGUCAUUUAAUCAAUGAUUCAGUUCGUCCGUUCACCGAACCAGAAGUGAUUUCUUUAACCAAUGACAAGGAGAAGGAUCUUCUUAUUGCUCUCUCUGGGGUCCUGAGAGAAAUUCAGCUUAUGAAGUUGGAACUUGAUUGCGAUUCUGAUAAGGAAGCGGCUCCGGAUCCUGCUUGCGACAGAGAAUACUCUGACGGAUCAGAGAUGCAUCAUCAGGAACUUAACUGUUUGAUCAAGAUACUAGCUGACUUGAUAGCUCUUCUUACGGUUGAGAGUCAAUUUGUCCAACAUUUGGUGGGCAACAUUCUUGUAGUCAUUUCUGAGCUUGUGGCUGCAUCUGGAAGUGAGUGGGAUUCUUUCAUUCAUUUAUUGGUUGCUUGUCUGAAAUCAGCAAUUGCCAAUAUGUUGUCACUCUCUCUGGCAUCUUCAACAAGUGCAGCUGGGGACUCAAGUUCUUACUCAUCUAGUUUUUCUCUCUUAAAAUCUAGACCAGAAAAUUCUAACUGGUCUACAGCAGCUGCAAUUAUUCGAGUUUUACGCAAAACAUUAAAAUAUUUGAAGCAAGAGGAUGAUGAUCAUCUUUGUGAAAUGUACUUGGAUUCUGUCAGUUCUUUUCUUUCAGAUGUGCCUUGGGAUCUCAUGCAUGAGAUUCAAAAUGGUCAGAGUAAUGAUGCUAAGGAAAGUGAUUCUCAGAAUAGUCAUUUUAUUGAUGCUUCAUUUGUUAGAAACGAUGGUGAGGAAACAAGAGUGGUAUUUCUAGGGAAUUUUAUCCAAUUCCUGUGUUCAUUGAUUGAGCAGAGCUGUGCUGUGGAAUCCAAGGGCGAUUCCCACCAUGAGCAUCAUCCAGUUCAUUGCAUGAGCAUCAGUUUUGUGCCCAAACUUUUAGUUUGGUGCCUUGGAGAGCAUGGAAAUUUUCUGAAAACGUCUGUUUCUCACUAUUUCAGACAUAAAUUAUUGAUGCUAAUGCUGAGGCUUAGUUACCAGACUUCUUUAGGCUGCUCUAUUCUCAUUUCAUGGUUGCAAUUUCUUCAUGGUUACUUCAAAGAGCUCUUGUGGAAACCCAUAACUAAACUAGAUUUUGGUCAAGAUGAAUGCCUUGAAGGUUCUCCAUUUUUAUUGUGUCUCUCUGAUGGAGAACAUAGAAUCAAUUCUUAUCACUUACAGAGGUGCACUGUUCUCCUUUUCCUGAAGUGUUGCUUCAGUCUGAUCAGCUCGACAAGGAAAACGAGCAGGCAAUGUGGAUGUGCAACUCUUAACUGUUCUUUGACAUUUGACUCAAUCUCUGACCUGGACAGUUAUGGUAGAAGGCAAGGCUUCUUAGAGCUCUACAAAUGGGUUCAAGGGCAUCUUCCAAUUGAUAUAUUUGUGGAUCAUGAAAUGAAUUUGGAAAAGUGUAGAUGCUUUGCCUUAUCUUUCCUCCAGCUAUAUAUGCAUGAGGAUGAUGUAUUGUUUAAGGUGCUUUUGGAACUGCUCAACAUACAGCCUUGUUUAGAGCAGCAAUCAAGUAAAGAAAAAUGGACGUAUGAAGAUGUCAAACAAGAUACUCCUUUUUAUGUUGCAAGCAUUUUUAAUCCUGUAAACCUGUUCCAUCUAUUCCUUGCAGAGUUGCAUUAUGAUCAUCAAGUGCUUCUUGAUUACCUUAUUUCUAAAGAUACAGGAAUCACUUCUGCAGAAUAUCUUUUAAGAUGUUUGCGUACAGUAUGCAAUUCAUGGAACUUAUUUAUAACAUUUUCUAUGCAUGAGAAAAUUGUGGAUCACUCAUCUUGCAAGAAAGGAAAAAUGUAUUUGAAUGAUUCAAAUGUUCAGGUGGAGGCAUCAUCUAUACCUGUAAAAGACAUAUCUUCAUCACUUGAAGACAAAUGCAAGAGAGAUUUUGGAUGUAACCAUAAGCACUACAAAACCACAAGCCAACUGUUCAAGAAAGCCAAAAAUUGUUUGCUUUCUCUAAAACAUUCUGUAGAAAGUCUUCAUCGGAAGAAUUUGUUUCCGUACAAUCCAGAAGUUCUCUUGAAACGUUUAACAAAGUUUCAGGAAUUAUGCUUUGAUAUAAAGAGUCACGGCUUUUCCUAAACUGGAGGAACUAUUUAGGAACUUGUACUGCUGCAGAAUUGGCAUAUUAUGUGUUAAGAGUAAAUAGCAAAUCAGAAUUCUAUUGUCCAAAGCACUUGAUCAUCUCCAAAGUUCUUCAAUCAAAAUUGUUAUGAUGUACCAUUGAAGUACUGUUAAGCAUUUGACAAGUUGGUUGAGAGGUUGAGUAAAAACUACUAAUGGUGUUGUGGUUGACAUGAGAAUGCAAGAAAACAUAGAAUAGUUUUGUUCACUCACUGCAGGAGAGGACCAAAAAUUAUGCCUCUUCCAAUAUGUGGCCAGCUUCUGUCUUUUCUAAGCAUAGAUGACCGUCUUGUGAAAGUGAUGCCAUAUGGAACAAUGACUUUAUAAUGGUUGGUCUGAUCAUCAACCAGGCCUUCUUGCAUGUUGAAUAGUGUUAGGACCAGACAAAAUACAAUUGGAGACAAAUGUGCUGACAGAACAUAGAGGAGAGGCAGAGGGAUUUUUAGUCCGUGUAGCCUAUCAUGGAGCAUGGUGUUGGUAUAAGGUGGCAACUUUGCUGAAAUCAGCUGGUCACCAAAUUACAGCUCCGGACCUGGCUGCUAAGGAAUCCACCCAAAGCAGGUGCAUGAACUCCAUUCAUUAUUGGACUAUUUUGAGCCAUUGAUAGCACGAUGUCUCUUCCAUGAGACAAGAGAGUGAUUCUAGUUGCCACAGUAUGUCUGGGCUCAGCAUAUCUGCUGCUACAGAAAGGUUUCCGGAGAAAAUUUCUGCUCGAGUCUUUGCUGCGGCUUUUUGCCAGGUCCUAACCUCAAUUGCACGAAUAUAAGAGAAAAGAUGAGUUCUAGAUUAUUUGAUGACACUGUAAAUCUCUUUUCCGAGGAAAAUUUAAUUUUUUGAAAUGAAUCCCAUCAUAUGUUGCGGAAAGUUUCAUGAAGACAAACUAAAUAGAAAACGAUAAUGGUCACAUGUGGAUGGGGAGAAGAACAGUGAUGCUUAGCCUAUAGAGAAAGAAAGUUCACCAGAUUGUGGGCCUAAUUGAAUAUUGGCUCUCAAAAUUACCAACAGCUGCUAGGGAGCUGAAAGGCCAAGAAACAAGAGGAAUACAACUGCUGGCCAUCACUAUCUUACUAACUCCAUGAAGUACCAACAUAUUAUGUUUUACUUGUUUAUGUCGUGAUGACUUUUAAGGUAGAAUUAUUUGCCAAAGGAUGAGCAAACAGAAUAUGAUUUACACCAUUUGCUUUAUUUUAGCAAACAGAAUAUGAGCAAACAGAAUUUCAUUAUUAAUAGGCCUGGCUUUGAGUUGCUUCCAUUUUUUGACAGAGGCUACACUGGUCUCCAGAUGAUGGCUGCUUGUGAUUUAUGAGCUAGCAAAUUAAUGAGUUAGUGGAUUCCAUCA